rnacentral:rRNA from 1 species
UUCCGGUUGAUCCCGCCGGAGGCGACCGCUUUGGGAGUUCGAUUAAGCCAUGCGAGUCGUGAGUCUUAGGGACUCGGCAUACUGCUCAGUAACACGUGGAUAACCUGCCCUAUCGUCUGGAAUAACCUCGGGAAACUGAGAAUAAGGCCGGAUAGUUCACAAUGCCUGGAACGGUUUGUGAAUCAAGGUAGGAUGGGUCUGCGGCGUAUCAGGUUGUAGGGGGUGUAAAGGACCCCCUAGCCUUCGACGCGUACGGGUGUUGGGAGACAUAGCCCGGAGAUGGAUUCUGAGACACGAAUCCAGACCCUACGGGGUGCAGCAGGCGCGAAAACUUCACACUGCAGGAAACUGUGAUGAGGGAACUCCUAGUGCAUGCACUAUGUGUAUGUAGAUCCUACUCUUAACAAGUAGAGGGAAAGGGCUGGGAAAGACCGGUGCCAGCCGCCGCGGUAAUACCGGCAGCUCAAGUGGUCGUCGCUUUUAUUGGGCCUAAAACGUCCGUAGCCUGUUUGGUAAAUCUGUGGGUAAAUCAAUCCGCUCAACGGAUUGAAUUCUGCAGAGACUGCCAGACUAGGGACCGGGAGAGGUGUGGGGUACUCGAGGGGUAGGGGUAAAAUCCUGUCAUCCUUCGAGGACCACCAGUUGCGAAGGCGCCACACUGGAACGGAUCCGACGGUCAGGGACGAAGCCUAGGGGCACGAACCGGAUUAGAUACCCGGGUAGUCCUAGGUGUAAACGCUGUGAACUUGGUGUCGGGGGUCCGCAAGGGGUCCCCGGUGCCGGAGUGAAGAUGUUAAGUUCACUGCCUGGGGAGUACGGUCGCAAGGCUGAAACUUGAAGGAAUUAGCGGGGCAGCAC